UACAGAGGUCUCAAGCGUUGUUCGGAUUCAUUGGGCGUAAAGCGUGCGCAGGCGGCUUUGCAAGACAGAUGUGAAAUCCCCGGGCUCAACCUGGGAACUGCAUUUGUGACUGCAUGGCUAGAGUACGGUAGAGGGGGAUGGAAUUCCGCGUGUAGCAGUGAAAUGCGUAGAUAUGCGGAGGAACACCGAUGGCGAAGGCAAUCCCCUGGGCCUGCACUGACGCUGAGGUGCGAAAGCGUGGGGAGCAAACAGG
rnacentral:rRNA from 1 species